AGAAUGGAAAGAAUUCUCUAUGGUUUUCUUUUUUUACUGAAAAUAAGUGCUUCCUUUUCAAGUCUUAUUCUGUUGCCAUUGCAGAAUUCUUUUACCAGGAAGAUUUAAGGGCAAUUUUUAGCAGAUGAAAACUUAGGAUAAAUUAUUAUUAUAGAUAAUAACAGUUAAAUAUUUUCAUGUUCCCAGUUUGAUGAAGCUUUUCCUGUAGGUCCUCCCUUCUUUUUUAAAAUUCAUUUUCCAUUCUUUGACAAUUUCAUACACACACACACACACACACACACACACACACACACACACACACACAAUGAAUUUCAGUCAUUUUCAUCCCCAUUAUCCUCUCUCAUGCCUCCUUCAGCUGUAAUGUAUUUUUCCCCCAAAAGUCGCCAUCCCCUCAUGUCUUUUUGGUGUGUGUGACCCACAGAGUUUAAUUAUGUUUCAUUCAUUCAUUAAUUAGUUUAAUUAGGGUUGUCUGUGUGAGUGUGGGUGGGAGGCUAUUUACUGGAAGCAGGCAACUUCUCAGUAGCUCCAGCACUGAGGAAAGUUACAUUGUUUCUCACAGAUGACAUUAAUUGCCAAUCCUCCCCCAGGCACAGGGUAGUGCCUCAUGAGCCUUCCCCUCUGUGAUGAAAAGUCAAGGGGCUCAGUCUUGCCUGGUAACUGCAGCUGCAGUAAAUUCAUGAAGGCAGGGGUCGAGUCACAUUUGGAUUUCACAGCAUCCCCUUGCCCCUGCAGCUCUCCUGUGGGUUCUUCUGCAGUGUUCCCUAAGCCUUUCAGUGAGUGGUAUCAACAACCUAUUUAGGGCCAAUCACUCCACUGUCCUGUAUUCACAGCAGGCAACAGAGUCAGAGACUCUGCUCACACUGUUAGGAGCACCACAAGGAGACCACACUACAAAACUGUAACAUGUGCAGAUAGCCUAGGUCAGUCUUAGGGCCACAUCCUAAAGGGUCUUAAACACAUGCAGCUGGUGGGGGGGGGUCCCCAAUUUGUCCUUGCUUAGGCACUCUCCUUCAACCCAAGGGCACCAGAGAAGUCUUGUAUUUCAUAAUACACAAUUCAUUGUACGAAGCUUGCCUUGUUUGGUCUCUCAGUGUGGCUUGUUUCCAGGCUUGAUCUAGACUGACAGAUUUGGUGUCAGGCUUCCAAAUGUGUUACUGGGAUCAGUGUCCUCCUGGUUUGCCUCCCUUGGGUUGGGGCACCUUAGCCAACCUCCCUUCAUGUGGUUGCAGGUUUAUUUCAUGCCUUUGGUGGGGUCAACAUUUCCUUUUUUUCACAGAAGCCACAGAUUCCAGCUGUUUGCCUUGAGUUCCAUGCACAGCACACAACCCACUCUGUGAUCCAAGGAAUGGACUCUUCUCUCUCUGCUUAUCUGGACUCUGUGAGAACCACAUUUCAGGACAUGUUAUGUACAGUACACGGCUUCUAGCAUCCAGUUUUACAACAGUUUGGAGCUUUAUUGUUGCAAGUGGCAUUUACUCACCUUAAGUCAAAGGGAAUUUACUGGUUCAUGACCCUGAGAAAUCCACAGGUGAACCUGGAUUUAUGUGCUGAUUGAUUCUGAGCGCAGAUGAUAUUCAGUCUCCCCUGGGCUGUUCCUCUCACAAGCUGACUUUCCAUAGGAACAUAAAGGACAGAACAGUUCCAGGCAUCUGAGCUUCAGGCCCAAAGCUGCCAAGUCAGAGUUUACCUUUCCUUGAAGUGGAUGAUGUCUCAAGGGUUGCCUUUAUGCUAAGACGUAGGACAUUUGUGAACAUUGCCCACGUAGUGUGUGGGAACUGCAUGGGCCAAUGUGUCAGUAGACAUCACCACAACCUCUUCUACCAAUGAACUUUGGCUUCUUGUCAGGUGUUGUGCCAAGCGUUGUGGUUCAGGAGACAGAACAUCCAGACUAUUUUAGAAUUUUCUUUCCAACCUCCAGGCUGUGGGUGGCUAAUCUUGUGUCCGCUUAACUGUACCAUAGGUGUCCAGGUAUCUGGUCAUUUGCUAAUCUUGGCGUGUCUGUGAGGAUGUUUAGUAAUAGCAGAUUGCUCUCGAUGUGAGCAGCCCCAACACAGGGAGCUGGACUCCAAUGGGACAAAAGACUAGCUCCACGAUAGUAGGAAGGAACUCUUCCAAGUUGAUGGCUUCAGUAGGGCCAUCAGUUCCCACUACCCUAGGACCAUAAUUGAAACAUUAGUUUCUCAUAGCAAGCCUAAUCUAGGUUCCCAGACUCAGACUGGAGUUGAUCUCUGGCUCUCAGGCUACAGUCUUGGGGGCUUCUCAGCAUCUAUAAUGUGAUCCAAUUCCUCAUAGUACAUUUCUUUAUAUAUAAUAUAGGUAUAUCACAUGUGUGUGCAAUACACACACACACACACACACACACACACACCCCACACCCAUACACACACACACAUAUCAUACUCCUGUUGAUUCUUUUUUUUUUUUUUUGAAGAAUCUUGAAAAACACAGAAAAUCAAUGAAUGCCCUUAGCAAUCCCCUGGAAAGUGAAAGGAAGAAAGAAGGGAGAUGGGACAGAAAUGACGUGGAGAGAGGCACAGGAAAGUUGAGGAAGAAAAAAAAAAUGUCCAAAUUCACAGUUUUGUUUUGUCAUAAUGGUAUGCCUACCCGAUCCAGAUUUCCUGUCUUUUCUCCCAUCAGUCAAGGGAUCAGCAAAAUAAGAACUGUAUAGCUUUCCACUAUGUGCCUAAUGGUUCAUAUAUCAGAACCAAGAAGACACUGGAGGAGGACUUGAUUAUACCUUUGGCUGGGAUGAAAUUUAGUCAAGAUUGUAAAGAAGUGCUGCCUUAGUUAUCACCACCUGUUUUGGAUUCUGUGCACUUGUCAAUGGCUAGAUAGUGUGUGUGAUUAGAAGUUAAGGUCUACAUCUGAGAGAGGACGUAUGGCAUUUGUCUUUCUGACCAUGGGUCACCUCGGCUAAUGAAACGUUUUCAAAUUCUCCCUAUUGUUUUCCCAAGAACUUUGUAAUUCUACUUCCUUUUGGUUAAAAAGAUCUCACACUGUGCACAUACCAUAUUUUCAUUAUCCAGUCUCUGUUGAUGGACAUGCAACUUGACCCCAUUUCCUGGCUACUGUGAGAACAGCAAUGGACGUGGAUGAGCAAGUGUCUCUAUGGUUGGAUGGAGCCCUCGGGACAGAGCACUCACUGUUUAGAGAUGUGUAGAGGGGGACACAGAUCUGCCCCAGGACCAGCACCCACCUCUUACCUGAAUCACAUCACAGCACAGAUCAAGAAAUGCAGGCUCAAGGACAUACACAGUGUCACAGCUACUGAUUUGUGGAGAUCAAAUCCGAUUUCCUAAUGUGUGAGGCUCAGUGCCAUUUGGCAGUGGCUCUGCCCUGAUUGCCUUUUGUAUCUGGCUGCCGAUUUUCCUAUUAUCCCUCCACUGUUAAUCAGGAAUAUAUUCUUGCCAGAUCAUGAUAUUGCUUGAGUUUUUGAAGAUGCUGUCCAUUGAUAAAUUUAUUAAAGACAAUAAAAAAUCAUUUAAAGACCUAAAAUACCAUUAAAUGCUAGUAGACAUUUAAUUAAGAGGAAAGACUGAGGUACAAGGGAAAAGUGUGACUCACCCUCAGGAGGCCUCUGAAUAAGAACAAUGUAUUGAAACACCAACUCCCUCUUGAGUGCUGCUUCAGGCUCUCCAAGGGAAAGGAUGUUUGCAGGUGAUUCCCAGAUUCAAAGAAAGGCAGUAGGUAAUGUCCUUCCCCAAGCACUGCUGUGUCGUCUGAAAGAACAGUGACAUGAUGAGAAAAGGGCACACACACACACUCACUCAGGUUUCUCAGUAGUGUUAUGAGCUUGCAGGUCUCCACUUAUUUGGAUGUUUUUCUAAUGUUUACCUUUUGGCUAAGUUGGAGCUGCUUCAGAUUCAACAUUGAUUCCUAAAUUUAUGAGUGAAAGUAAACAUCCCCACUUGGAUGGUGUGGUGGCUAUUCUUUUUUGUUUGUUUGUUUAUAUUUUGUUUUUCAAGACAGGGUUUCUCUGUGUAACAACACUGACUGCUCUGGAACUCACUCUGUAGACCAGGCUAGCCUCAAAUUCACAGAAAUCUGUCUAUGUCUGGUGGUUAACUUGACUAUAUCUGGAAUGAACUGCAAUCCAGAAAUAGAGGGCACACCUGUGAUCAGUAUCUUGAGACUGAAAGAACAGGCUUUUGAUCUAGAUCCUGAGGUGAGAAGGCACACCUUUAAUCCGGGCCAUACCUUCUUCUGGAAGCCUAUAUAAGAACAAUGGAAGAAGGAAGUUAUGUUCAUUCUUUGCCUGCUUGCCCUCACUAUGUCAGCAAUCAAGCCAAAAUUAACAAGGUAUAGACAUGGGGCCCCAGGACAGUUACAGAAAGGCCAUUCCUUCCUUCCUAGACUAUGGGCAGCUGGGAGCCUAAGUAUGGAUUGGCAACAGUAGACUUCAAACGCCUUAGAGGAAUUACAGGGAGCUAGGUUGGCAAGCCUUUUCUAAGAUGAACAGUUGAUCUCCGUACCACCUCCUCCUUUGAGAGUGCUAGGGAUUAUGAGUCAGGAAAGUCAAACAGGAGUUGGCUGCCUGGGAGGUCCAAACUAGGCAGAUAAUUACUGAUUUUUUUCUUAAAUAGAUUUUACCUAGUGUACUAUCAUUUGACACAGUUUCAAAUGUUUAAUAGCAAAAAAAAGUAAAAAAUGCAUCCAGUUAAUUUUUAUAGAAGGUUCCACACACUAUUUGACAGACCUUUAAAUAGCUAAACCAAUGAUUUGGGGGAUUAAUUUGUUUAGCAGUCACAGACUUGGAAUAAAGAAACAUUUCAAGGUUGUCUGCUGCUUGGGGCAUGGGGAUCCUCUCUGUCUUCCAUAGCAGUCAGGUUCUCUGCUGUGUCCUCUUAGAACAGCUCCCCAUCCCACUCAGUCCCUCUCAUUUAUGGUUGGUUUCUAGCAGCAUUUGGUUGUUUUCCUCUGCUGCCUGAAGUUCAGUCAAGGUCCUGGCACACCACCUACAAGAGGGCUGAUGAGACCGUGCUGGGUCUGGCACAGUGUUUGACAUUUUCUCCAAUAAAGAGACUUUGCCUCUAUUUCCUGCUUUUAUAACCUUUAGAUGAGUUGCCCUAGCUUUUCUUAUUACUAAAUUGAUUCUUCUUCAUCAAUUCUGUGCAUGUGAAUCAACUAGGGAAUGUUUUUAGGGACAAGGAUUCUCAGACUCACCCUUCUGAAGUAUGUAGUUUAGCCAUGUAGGGUAGGCACAUGAAGCUACAUCACAACACACUGUAGGUGGCAUGGAUGCAGUUAGAGUCCGUGCUGAAGUGGAAACUACAGUUCAGAUGCUAGAACUCAAAUUAAAUUAGCACUUAAUAUGAAAAUUGCUGAAGGUGGCAAGGGCUGCCUAGUGACUCCCAAAGAUAUGAACCUCAAUUCCUUCCAUCAUUCAGCACUCCACUCAUAGACAUUAGGAUAUAUCCUGUGAGCACUGGGGCAAUAAUGUCCUCAAGACUGUUUGAGGAGGGCACCGAGGCAGAGAGCUCACAUCUGGAUUCCUAAGUCUUGUGUAUGGCAGACAUUUUCAACAGCCUUCAAAAUAAAUGGACAACUGUC